CCAUAUGGCUAUUAAUAUACUGAAGUGAAUCUGUGUUUCUAGGUGGUUUUGGAGUAGACCUUCCUAUCCUGUCACUUAUGGGAUUGCAAAAUGAGGUGUUUUAAAAUGUUACCUAUUAUAUUCACUUCUCUGUACAACCAAAACAGGAAAAACUGGGUUCUGAGGUCAAUCUAAUACCGCAUUCAUCAAAACAACAUUAUUUUUCCUAUCUUUAUAAGUGAAUAUUAUCUACUAGAACUUAUACUUUUUAUAACAAUAUCAUUUAAAUUGUUUUAUAUAUUUUAUAGUUAUUAUAUAUAAGAUUUCAUUCCAAAAAAAGAUUUGGCUAGUUUUCAAGUUUGAAAAUCACCAAUCCCUGAUGAACUCUAAGUUCCCCUCUAGCUCUGACUUUCUACCAAUCUCCAAUUCUAAACCCUGAAUAAAUUCAUGGGGUCUUAAAGUUGUCAGUCCAUAUAAAAUUUUGAAGUUUCAUGCCUUUGCUUUUAUGCAUGUGGUUUUUUUCUUUAUAUAACCAGCUUUCUAUGCCAAUCCCAUUCUUCAGCACUUAGCUCAAGUGCAACCUCUUCUACGCAGAACACUUAACAUGGGUCUUGGACCUAAGCCUUGGUUUCUUCAUCUGCAAAAUGAGAAACUGCCCUCAAAUGUGGAAAAAAAGACUUUGGAGUCAGUGGAGAUGCAAUUCUACUAAACAGAAAGGGGGCCCCAGUCUGAUAUGGUUGAGACCACUCUCCCUGUCUGAGCUUCUUGAGUAAAUGAGAGAGAACCCCAACAUCACAGAGUUGAUGAGAAAAAGCACCAUACGUGUGCUCAGCGCACGGUAAUUCAAUUUCAGCUCCCUUUCUGGUCUACAUUUUCUCUCCCACACCUUGCUCAAGGGAUAACCCCAGCACCAGCAACCAGCUUGAUAAAUGAAGGAACAAAGCAUUUUCUGGUGAAAGCAAUCUCAUCCAGCGGCUAGGUGACACCAAGGCAAGCACCCAGGGAAUGCUAGGAGUUUUCAAUCCGGCUUCACAGCCUCUAUACAGAACAGAACCAGAGCUGCCUUUCCCAGCAGGGAAAGAACAGGGAUGUGCCUUGCUCCAUAUACGGGGAGGCCUGGGAGAACUGGCAUAGGGAGGAGACAGACCCACAGGACUACUGUGGGAUCAGAAACAGGUCUUAAUCCUGACUGCUCCUUAGAAUCACCUGGGGAACUUUUAAAGCAUUCCGAUACCAAGCUCCCAGCCCAGACAAACUAAAUCAUAACCUCUGGGGGCUGGGCCCAGGUAUUAGUUUUCAAAAGUUCCCCCAUGUGAUUCCAGCAAAGAGUGGAAAAUACCAGACAUAAACAAAGAGUGACCAGUUUAAUGCCCUCUGAGGUGUUUUUGUUAUCCCCAACUUUACAAAUAAGAAAUUAAGAUGUGACUUGUCCCAGACACACAGCCAGAAGAUGGAAAUUUGAAUACAGGCUGGGCUAAUGUGAAAACCCAUUUUUAAAGAGCCAUCUAGCGGUUUUAAUCCUUCAUCUUAUCCUUCCCACCUGCCUAUCCCUGUGACUUCAGAAACCCCUUUCUUGAAAUCUGCCCAGACCCCUUUUACCAUAAAUGUCCCUCUUGACCUUGGACCCCUCAAAUCCAUGCCCCUUCAACUCAAACUGGACAGUGGACUCAAAAGUGGGUAAGGACCAGGGUCAGUGGAAACACUCUUCGUAUGCACUGGGGCAUGCAAGAAUGCACUGGGGGCGCUCUUGCUUGCCCAGCACCAAAAUGGGUCAGUUUUGCUUAAAAGCCAUUCCUUGAGUGCUUACUGCAUACCAGUGUUAGCCUGCCACAUAACAGCUAAUGCUUACUGAGCAGUGUCACUCUGUGUUGAGUGCCAUAUAUGCAUCACAUCACUGUGUUCUCAAGAUAUUUUCAGGAGGUAAUUAUUUUCUAUUAUUACCCAUUUUAUGGAUGAGAAAAAUGGAAGUGUCAAAAAUUAUGCAGCUGGUCAUUGAGCUAUAAGUGAGGAAGCCAGGAUUCAAACCCUGGCUACUGGCUUCAAAGCCUGAAGGCCUUAACAUUAUACUCCUCCCUGAACUAGCACUUCAUUAGCUGUUGGGGCAAUCCUGUUCCAGCUCUGCCAUGGUGCCCCUGCGUGACCUUGGGCAAAUCCACCUUCUCAUCUCUAAACAUAGAACUGGGACUAUGGACUCUAAGGCCACUUCCAGUUAAGUGGUCUUGCAACUUGGGUUACACCAUUACAGCUCAAUCACUCCUGGGCUGUGACCUUGGACAACUUGUCCAGCCUUCUCUAUACUAGGAUGAGUACAUUCACCUUAUUACUGAUAUACCCUUUUAAAUUAUUUUCUUCUUGUCACCUGCUGUCAAGUCCAAAAAGUUGGCCCUGGUUCAGGAA